AUAUCUCAGACUGAAAACAUCCAGUGCCCUCUUGUUAUUGUCAAGCCUAGAGCCAUUAAGAAGGUGGUCUUAAGAGAUAAAUAGAGCAGUGAUGCUUCACCUCUUUGUUCAAAUGGAGGUUUCAAUAAAGCAUUACUGACUUUUUGCAGAGGAAUUAUUUUGCUGCCUAUGGGUUUUAGGAUACCAGCCAUCCAGAGAAAUCUUUUGACAUCAGGAUAAGAUCUACUAUAGGUAGUAUUUAAUCCUUUAAUACUAAAGGAUUAAGCCAGUUGACCAGGAAGAGAAAUUAGAUUUAACACCUGGAAAAUUCAAAGCAUUUCCAACCUUCUCAUUCCAGGGUUACUCUCGUUGUCCAGACAAGAGCACUUACAUGGAGUUUAGCUUCUACAUUUAACAGAAACAGAAACAAGUUUAUAUUGAUCUAAAGCUGAAGACCUGGAGAUGAUAUUGAAAUACCACAAAAUGGACUAACAGACAUAAAAAGGUCCAGAAGAUGGGGAUCUUUGUUGUUUCUAGGAUGGACAAAUGCAUGCCUAAAACCAAGUGAAACCCAAGAUUUCGUUUCAGAAGGGAGUGUAUUUGGCUUUUCAAGGACUUGAAGCAUGAAAACAACAUCUCUAAAAUAUUUUUAAAUCUGAUGUGCAUCUUGCAAUCCAGUUUCAUAGGUGGAAUCUGAGUGUUUUAAAUGCAGUUGCAUUAAAAAUAAUGAAAUAUGCUAAA